rnacentral:lncRNA from 10 species
AUUUCCACAGAUAGCUUGUUUGUAAUUUUUAUUGAGGGAUAUUCAAUUUUUCACUGUAGGCCUCAAUGAGGCCUACAAUUUUUCACUGUAGGCCUCAGAAAUGUGCCUGCACAGAUUCUACAAAAAAAGUGAUUCCACCUGUAAUACCAACACUUUGGGAGGCCAAGGCAGGCAGAUCAGGAGGUCAGCAAAUCGAGACCAUCCUGGUUAACAUGCUGAAACCCCAUCUUUUAUAAAAAUACAAAAAAACUGCCAGUUGUGGUGGCUGGCACCUGUAUUCUCAGCUACUUGUGAGGCUGACGCAGGAGAAUUGCUUGAACCAGUGAGCCGAGAUUGUGCCAUUGCAUUUCAGCCUGGGUGACAGAGCAAGACCCUGUCCAAAAAAAAAAAAAAAAAAAGAAGAAGAAGAAGAAAAGAAAAGUUAUUCCAACCUUUUGAAUCAAAACGAAGGUUUAAUUUUGUGAGAUGAAUUCACCCAUCAUAAAGCAUUUUCUCAGAUAACUUGUUUCCAGUUUUUCUUGUGGAAACCUCAGUUUUUCACAACAGGCCUCAGAAAUAUCUCUUCAUACAUUCUACAAAAAGAGUGUUUCCAACCUGUUAAAUCAAAACAAUGGUUUAAUUCUGUGAAAUGAAUCCACACAUUGCAAAGCAUUUUCACAGAUAGGUUGUUUCUAGUUUUUAUCAUGGGAUAUUUCGUUUUCACCAUAACCCAGAGAGGGCUCAGAAAUGUCAACUCGUAGAUUCUACAAAAAGCAUGUUUCCAACCUGUUGAAUCACAACAAUGGUUUAACUCUGUGAGAUGAAUCCACACAUCACAAGGCAUUUUCAUAAGUAGUUCUUUUUUGUUUAUUUGUUUUUAUUGCAAGAUAUUUGGUUUUUCACUAUAGGUUUCAAAGGGCUGAAAAAGUCCCUUUAGAGACACUAAAAAAUGGUGUUUCCAACGUAUUGAAUAAAAAAAGGUUUAACUAUGAAAGAAAUUCACCAACUGCAAAGCAUUUUCACAGAUAGCUUGUUUCUAGUUUUAUCACAGGAUCCUUGGUUUAUCACUGUAAGACUCAGUGGGCUCCCCAAUGUCUUUUUGUAGGUUCUACGAAAACAGUGUUUCCAGCCUGUUGAAUCAAAAUAAAGUUUAAUUCUUUGAGAUGAAUCCACAUAUCACAAAGCAUUUUCACAGAUAGCUUGUUUCUAGUUUUUAUCAUCAGAUAUUUUGUUUUUCACUAUAGAACUCAAUUGGCUCAGAAAUAUUCCUUUG